rnacentral:rRNA from 1 species
CACGUAGGGUGCGAGCGUUGUCCGGAAUUAUUGGGCGUAAAGAGCUCGUAGGCGGUGUGUCGCGUCGGCCGUGAAAACCUGCAGCUUAACUGUGGGCGUGCGGUCGAUACGGGCAUCACUGGAGUUCGGCAGGGGAGACUGGAAUUCCUGGUGUAGCGGUGAAAUGCGCAGAUAUCAGGAGGAACACCGGUGGCGAAGGCGGGUCUUUGGGCCGUAACUGACGCUGAGGAGCGAAAGCGUGGGGAGCGAACAGG